CCAGGUAGCUCAGUUGGUAGAGCAGGGGAUUGAAAAUCCCCGUGUCGGGGGUUCGAUUCCCUCCCUGGCC
rnacentral:tRNA from 1 species